UUCCGGUUGAUCCUGCCAGAGGUUACUGCUAUCGGAGUUCGAUUAAGCCAUGCGAGUCUAAAGGUUUCUUCGGAAACCUUGGCGGACUGCUCAGUAACACGUGGAUAACCUACCCUUGGGACUGGAAUAACCCCGGGAAACUGGGGAUAAUACCGGAUAGAUCAGGGAUGCUGGAAUGCACCUUGAUCCAAAGCUCCGGCGCCCAAGGAUGGGUCUGCGGCCUAUCAGGUAGUAGUGGGUGUAACGUACCUACUAGCCAACGACGGGUACGGGUUGUGAGAGCAAGAGCCCGGAGAUGGAUUCUGAGACACGAAUCCAGGCCCUACGGGGUGCAGCAGGCGCGAAACCUUUACAAUGUGCGAAAGCAUGAUAAGGGAACUCCGAGUGCCAGUAUCUAAUACUGGCUGUCCUUGUGCCUAAAACGCACAAGAUAGCAAGGGCCGGGUAAGACCGGUGCCAGCCGCCGCGGUAACACCGGCGGCCCGAGUGGUAGCCGCUAUUAUUGGGUCUAAAGGGUCCGUAGCCGGUUCGAUAAGUCCUCUGGGAAAUCUGGUUGCUUAACAAUCAGACUGCCAAGGGAUACUGUCGAACUUGAGACCGGGAGAGGUAAGAGGUACUUCAGGGGUAGGAGUGAAAUCUUGUAAUCCCUGGGCGACCAUCUGUGGCGAAGGCGUCUUACCAGAACGGGUCUGACGGUGAGGGACGAAAGCUGGGGGCGCAAACCGGAUUAGAUACCCGGGUAGUCCCAGCCGUAAACGAUGCUCGCUAUGUGUCAGGUACGGUGUGACCGUAUCUGGUGCCGUAGGGAAACCGUGAAGCGAGCCACCUGGGAAGUACGGCCGCAAGGCUGAAACUUAAAGGAAUUGGCGGGGGAGCACUACAACGGGUGGAGCCUGCGGUUUAAUUGGAGUCAACGCCGGG
rnacentral:rRNA from 1 species